AUGCCUCGGAGUCGGAGCCAUCCCAAACUAAGCUCGCCUUGCUCCCCGAAGGCCGUCCACAAGGUCAUCUCCCGCUUCUCCCCCGAGAAGAAGCAGCUCGUGCGGUCAAUCGGUUUCGGGGGCCUGCUGGAGCUGCCACUGCACAGGAAGGUCGGCCACAGGUUCUCCCUGUGGCUCCUCACCAAGGUAGCACGAGAUGCCGCUGGUGCUCAACCUGCAGCAGCCGGCAAAGUAGCCGGCAUACCGUUCUACCCACACGACGUCAGCAAAGUGUUCGGCGUGCCUUCCGGAGGACGCCCGGUGCCCAAGAAGGAUCAGGGUCAGGUGCUGGUCUCCGACGAGGCCAAGGCGACCGUGCGCGGCACGCUCGGCUUGGACGAAGGAGAUGACAGCAGACUCAGAAUCCUGCAUGCUGCAAAGCAUGUACUGAAGAAGAAAUUCCGUCGGGGAAUGGCGGAGAAGGACGGGGCUGCAUUCAAGGUCGCGUUCGUGGUCUUCGUGGUGGAGAAUCUGCUGGCUCCAAGGGAGGUGGACUCUGUAUCCCUGGACUACUUCAUGGCCCUGCGGCGUCCCGAUGAGAUUCAGACGUAUGAUUGGUCCGAGUACGUGAUCCGUGUCAUACUGGACUCUGCCCGCGAAGUUCAGGCCGCUCUCGCUCAGGGGCAGCCCGUGGAGAAUCUGUUUGGGUGCAUUCUUUUCUUACAGAUAUUCUAUCUGGAUAACUUGGAUUUCGGUCAUGAGAAGAAUCUGCUGCAUCAUCAGACACUACGAUGCAAGGCGUAUGACUACGACACAAUUAAGAAGCUCGCGAAAGCCGAUCGCACCCGUUCUCGUGUUGGUGGCUUACGGUCCUUUGGUAAAAAGUUGGCACGAGAGGCCUCUGAUGUUUGUUACCAGCGUUCUGUCGCUCGAUGUGGUAACCACGUGAACGGUGUUGCGGUUGGUUCAGCCGACGGUGGAGAUCAGGAUGGCCACUCUGAUGAUAUAGUCUUCACAGAUGGUAGAGUUUUCAAUCAGAAAAUUUUAUGUGAAGUGUGUGGAGAUGUUGGUAUGGAAGAUCUUGUGAUGUUCUGCGCUUGCGGUGCUACUGUGCAUCAAUAUUGUUCAGACCCGGUUGUUCUUGAUGCAACAUUAGUAGAAUGGUCAUGUGAUGAGUGUCAGGCAAAGCAGGGCAAUGCCGCUGCUGACAAAUUAUCAGCAGAGGCGCUGUCAGGCAAAGCAGGGCAAUGCCGCUGCUGA
rnacentral:rRNA from 1 species